rnacentral:rRNA from 1 species
UGGGGAACAUUGGACAAUGGGCGAAAGCCUGAUCCAGCCAUGCCGCGUGUGUGAAGAAGGCCUUUUGGUUGUAAAGCACUUUAAGUGGGGAGGAAAAGCUUAUGGUUAAUACCCAUAAGCCCUGACGUUACCCACAGAAUAAGCACCGGCUAACUCUGUGCCAGCAGCCGCGGUAAUACAGAGGGUGCAAGCGUUAAUCGGAAUUACUGGGCGUAAAGCGCGCGUAGGUGGUUAUUUAAGUCAGAUGUGAAAGCCCCGGGCUUAACCUGGGAACUGCAUCUGAUACUGGAUAACUAGAGUAGGUGAGAGGGGAGUAGAAUUCCAGGUGUAGCGGUGAAAUGCGUAGAGAUCUGGAGGAAUACCGAUGGCGAAGGCAGCUCCCUGGCAUCAUACUGACACUGAGGUGCGAAAGCGUGGGUAGCAAACAGGAUUAGAUACCCUGGUAGUCCACGCCGUAAACGAUGUCUACCAGUCGUUGGGUCUUUUAAAGACUUAGUGACGCAGUUAACGCAAUAAGUAGACCGCCUGGGGAGUACGGCCGCAAGGUUA